ensembl:lncRNA
CAACGCUAUGCCGCAGUUCUGAUUAGAGUUCCAAUCUUAGUCUUGUAUGAAAAGGUAUCUCAAGCUCUUCACUGUACUCUGCUGGGCCCUUGCAGAACUUUCUGAUCUUGCAAGAAAGUGUUCAGGAGCUCUUCAUGUGGAGACUGCAGGAGAUGGACAAGAAUAAAGUGAGAUUCUGAGGCCAAACAAUUCAUGCCUACCUCUAGCAUGUUCCAGUGCUCUAAAAUGUUUUAACUUUAUUAUAUGGCCUUCCUCAGAGUCACAAAUAUCGUCACAUGCAUUCAGUAGCAGAACUGGACAAUGUUAUCUUCACUGAAAGGCCAAGUUUUAGAUGUGGCUCUAACCACAAACACUCCAUAUAUUAAAAAAAGAAUAAUCGAAAAUCAUGUUGAAAUCCUCACCAGCUUUGCAUCCAGUAGGGCUGGCAAACCACGCUGUUAUUCACUGAAGCCUCAACCAGGACACCGCCACUCUUCACAAGUCUGGGUUCUCACAGCGUCCUGCUGGAGGCACCGUAGACCACAUGGUGCGUCCUGCGUGUGAGCCUGAAAAACGGCAUCACAGCAAUAUUAGGAAGAUGUACAAGCGGUUUCCAGGAAAAUGCUAGUACAAAAUGUAUCUCAGAGUCACAUUAUCGUCACUUGCAUUCAGUAGCAGAACUGGACAGGGAUAUCGUCAUUGAAAGUGAUAUAAAUACUAAAAUCCACAUUCGUAAAAAAGACAAUAGGGAGGAAAAUAAAAUUUAAAUCUAAAAAUAAAAUCUUACCUUUGAGACAUUGCCACCAUCCAGGCUCAGGUCCCUCCAUUUUGUGUUCCCACGUUGGACAAUCACCGUGUGGCUAGGCCAAGUUCCAAUCUGUUAAAAAACAUAAUCUGAUUAAUUGACUUGUCCAUAUUUGCAUCCACUUGUACUGCAUUGUAUUGGCAACACCAAUAUGUACUGCAGCGUGUCAGAGUAACUAUGACAAGAGUCCUGGCAUCGGCAAGUUAAAAGAUUUGAACCAAAACGGCCAAAUGAAAACAAACCUAAGGUUAGGGUUUCA